ensembl:lncRNA LINC01229 long intergenic non-protein coding RNA 1229
GGGCUUGGAGUAAUGGAGAACUCCAAGGGCAGGAGGUAACCAUUAAAGAGGACCAUCAUGUAGUGUGAGGAGUCAACAUUUCACACUAGAAAGCCCUUGGUUCAAGUUUUGUCUCUGCCACCUACAGAUUUUGUAACCCUGAGGAAACUAGCUACCUCUUUAUGUACUGCCCUAUGGAGAGGCACACAUGUCAAGAAACUGAGGGAGUGCCUUCCAGUCAACAGCCAGCCAGGAACUAAGGUGCUCAGUACAGCAGCCUCCACAAAGGACUGAACAAUGCCAACAGCUAUUUGACUGUGCUUGGAAGAUCUCCGUUUAGUUAACCCUUCAGAUGAGACCGCAGCCCUGGCCAGCAAACAAAUUGCAGCCUAUGGAAAGACCUUAAGGCAGAAGCACCCAACUGAACCACCCGAGGGCUCUGACUUACAGAAACUGUGAGCAUGAAAUGGCCUCUACCUUAUUUUGAAUGGAUUUCUGGGAUAAAGUUCUUCAGUGAUAACAUGUUUGAACACAAAUCAGAGCGAACGACGUGAAAAGAGUUCUGUUUCUCCUGGAAGGAUGCCACUUGUUUCUACUCCAGGGGAAAUGUCUUCCAAGCUCUUUACCAAAUCUGCAAGCUGAACCAACUCAACUGUGGCUGCCUUGCCCACCUGAAGACCUCAGGAUCCACCAGCAGCCCAAGACACCUCGGAAGCUGUUUCAAGGACAAGCGUCGCCUGCACACGUCAGCACAAAUGGGAACAUGAUGAGUGAUGCUGCCUGGAGUUAAAGGAGGCCAGGAGCACCAGAAGCUGGAGGAGGCCGGGGUGGAUUCUCGCCUGGAGGCUUCAGUGGGAGCACGAGCUCCCGACACUUCGGUUCCAUCUCUUGUUUAAAGGCACCCAGUUUCUCAUCAUUUGUUACAGCACCAUGGAAAACCCACACACAAGUGAAGCCCCGACCCACCUCCCAAGUGCCCAUCUGAGCACCCCUCGUGGACUCUGAGCAGGGGGUUGCCAUCACCAACUCCAAGUCUUGCAGCCCCUCUUCCCUUCAGUCUGGCUGCCACCUUCUUCAUUGCCCUGGAAAAAAAUAAUGAAGUUUCACCAUUUAAAGGGUUUCAGUGCAGCUUGCUAUGGGAACACUGGAGAGUAACACAAAUGGCCAAUUGUCCUAAUAGCCACCAUGGAUUGGAUGGAUGCUAACAACAGGCUCACAGUUCUCCUUCUGUUGCCUCCUUUUAUCCACAUGAGAAUCAAACAAGACUACUGAUUAAAUGAAGCCUUUGAUGAAGUGCAUGCAGUUUGUAGCUUGAUUCAUGGGAAUACUCAUCACAGACUGAAAGUGUAACCCAGGGUCUCUGGGUUUUUGGGAACGCGCUGUGUAAAAGUAUCUACUUGUAACUGUUACUCCCUGAGUUGUUGUUGUUUUAGAAAGUUCCAAGAAGAAGCUUAGCCUUGGAAAAAACAAAAACUGGUUGAAUCCAGAAGUGGAGAUGAAUUUUGGCCAACGCUCCUCACUGCCACACUAAAAACCCUGCUCAGAGAGGAGCUUAUUCACCAUGUUCUAUUCAUGCAAUGUGUGUGGAAACAUGAUCUACGACAGCAUGCGUGCUGCCUUCACCCUACCUCUACAUACAAUGACUCAUUUAACCUGCUGAAUAAAAGCCCUGUUUUCACCUUUGCUGGGGGAGGUGCCGCUUUGGGAACUAUUCGCAGUGUCCUCUUCACUUUUUGCAAGUAAUAGAAUACCCUUGUUAAAUCCUA